rnacentral:sRNA from 1 species
AUGAAGAAAGACAACAGCCACUACCCACCCAUCUGCUCCUCCUCCGCUCCAACCUCCGUCGGAAUUCCUCGCUGUUUCCUCAAUUCCGAAGGGUUUUGAUUUUGGUAGAGUGGGUGAUUUUUGUGAUUUGGGGAAGUGGGUAAUGGUGGGUUUGUUGUUAGGGUGAGAUUUGUGAGCUGGGAUUUGGUAAUAUGAGUAGUUGGGGUGGUUUCGGUUGAUAGAGUGACAAAUUUUGAGAUUUCUACUCUGGUUUUGGCAGCGAGUUUGAUUUGUUUGUUAUUUAGCUUUCUUUGUACAAAGGCUGCGGUUAUGGUGGAUAUGAAAGUUCGUGUAAUAAACAAAAUUCAUGUGGAAGCCAGUCGGAGACUGCUUUCUUGGUGAAGAUAGUGAGAUUGUAGAAUGUUCAGAAUUAGAGCCUGUUCAUUGGUCGUACCAGUGCACAAGGCUCUCGCUUUACGC